AAGUCGUAACAAGGUUUCCGUAGGUGAACCUGCGGAAGGAUCAUUAAAUAACUGAUAAAUUCAAAUUUAUCUUGUUUACUGUGAACUGUAUUAAUUUUACGGCGUUUUGAGGGAUGUCUGUUUGCUAUAUGGGUAGGCAAUGCAGAAUGUUAACCAAGUCGUUAGUCAGGCUAAAUAUUUCGGCCUGGUACCCAAUUUAUUAUUUACCAAAAGAAUUCAGUUUAAAUAAUUGUAACAUAGAUCUAAACAAUCUAUAAAACAACUUUUAACAAUGGAUCUCUUGGUUCUC
rnacentral:misc_RNA from 1 species